rnacentral:rRNA from 1 species
GACGUAGGGCGCGAGCGUUGUCCGGAUUUAUUGGGCGUAAAGAGCUCGUAGGCGGCUUGUCGCGUCGAAUGUGAAAACCCACGGCUCAACUGUGGGCUUGCAUUCGAUACGGGCAGGCUAGAGUUCGGUAGGGGAGACUGGAAUUCCUGGUGUAGCGGUGGAAAUGCGCAGAGUAUCAGGAGGAACACCGGUGGCGAAGGCGGGUCUCUGGGCCGAUACUGACGCUGAGGAGCGAAAGCGUGGGGAGCGAACAGG